AUGAAAGAUGUGCUUCCCUACCACCAUGUGGACAAAUUGAAGGAGGAGGAUGCAUGGUCAUUGCUCAAGAAACAGAUAGUCUCGACAAUUGGACGUGAAAUUGAUAUGCUAAAGGAUAUUGGGUUGCAAAUCAUAGGAAAAUGUGACGGUUUGCCUCUUGCUCUCAAAAUAAUGGGGGGACUCUUGUGUCAGAAGGAUAAAACACAGCGGGAGUGGAAGAUGGUUCUGGAUGAUUCUAUGUGGUCGGUAUCUGAAAUGCCUGAAGCACUAAACCGUGCAAUAUAUUUGAGCUAUGAAGAUCUGUCUUCUUCCAUGAAACAAUGCUUCCUAUACUACUCUCUUCUCCCUAAUAAUGGAUUGUUUUGUGAUGAUGAUAUCAUUGGCAUGUGGAUUAGUGAAGGAUUUCUUCAUGGAUCCUCACACGACUUGGAAGAACUAGGAAGGAAGUACUAUAAGGAGCUGAUAUUGAGGAACCUAAUAGAGCCAAAUGUAAGAUAUGUUGAUCAAUCUAUCUGCAACAUGCAUGAUGUCGUACGCUCAUUUGCUCAAUUUGUGUCUAGAGAUGAGGCACUAGCAGCUCACAGUGGAGAAACUAAUAUUGCUAGUAAACUUAGUGCACAUCAGUUUCUUCGGCUAUCUCUAGAAAGCAAAGCAUUGGAAUCAAAUGGGUUAGACUGGAGUUCUCUACAGGCACAAAAGACAUUGAGAACACUAAUAUCAGUUGGCCACAUAAAUAUGAAGCCUAUUGAUUCUUUAGGUACUUUUCCAUGUUUACGAACUUUAUGUAUAACUUCUGCACAUGUUGUAGCAUUGCUUGAAUCUUUUCAAGAACUCAAGCACCUGAGGUACUUGUCGUUAGAAAACACGGACAUAUCUAGUCUGCCGGAUAGCAUUGGAAAGAUGAAAUUCUUGCAGUACAUUAGCCUUUUUGGAUGCCAACAAUUUGUGAAUCUUCCAGAUAGCAUUGUGAAGUUAGGGCAGCUAAGGUCUGUUAACUUCAGUGACACAAGUAUAAAUGGCAUACCAAGGGGGUUUUGUGCUCUAACAAACCUGAGGAUAGUACGUGGUUUUCCAGCCCAGGUGGAUGGUGAUUGGUGCAGCUUGGAAGAGUUGGGCCCUCUUUAUCAGCUUCGGCAUGUUGGAAUAAGGGGGCUGAAGAAUGUAACUUCUUCCUCGUCUGCAGCAAAGGUAAAGCUUGGUGAGAAGGUGCAUCUUACCGACCUAUCCUUGUAUUGUGGUAGUAGAUUGCAAGAUGAUGGGCUGAUUAAAGAGGAAGAUGGUGUCUCUCACGAAGGGCAGCAACUAAUCAAGAAGGUAUUUGAUGAGCUCUGCCCUCCGCCCGGGUUAGAAUAUCUUUACAUCAAAGGAUAUUUUGGCCGAUGGUUCCCAAGCUGGAUGAUGUCAUCAUCAGUUGUGCCCCUUGAGUGCUUGAGGAUUCUGUUCAUUGAGGACCUAACUUGCUGCACACAACUUCCUGAUGGCUUGUGUCAGUUCCCCUAUUUGGAGUUCAUUCAGAUCCGACGUGCUCCGGCCAUCAGGCGUGUUGGGCCUGAAUUCAUCCAGUCCUACCAUGGCCACGGUCCAUGUCCUUCCCAGAUGGUGGAUGCAUUUCCGAGAUUGUAUUCAAUGAACUUUAUAGUAAUGGUGGAAUGGGAGGAGUGGGAGUGGGAGGAGCAAGUCCCGGCCUUUCCUGUCUUGCAGGAACUUUUGCUAACACACUGCAAAUUGUCAUGUCUUCCUCCUGGCCUUGCCUUCCAGGCAAGAGCUUUGAAAAAAUUAUCCAUAAAAUAUGUCCAGGCUCUCACUUCUCUACAGAACUUUCCAUAUCUGGUUGACCUGGAACUGCAUAGAAACCCUGACAUGGAGAGGAUAGCCAAUCUCCCCAGACUGCAGAAGCUUAUUAUCACCCACUGCUCAAAAUUGAAGAUGUUGGAGGGUGUUCCCGCACUCCAGAGGCUCAUACUCACGGACAAAGACAUGGAAACAUUUCCAAAAUACAUGGGAGGUAUAAACCCAAGGCAUUUGGAGCUACAUUGUAGCCUAGCACUGCUCGCUUCCAUAGCCAUGGGACAAUCUGGUCCUGAGUGGGACAAGUUCAGCCAGGUUGAGCAUGUAAAGGCAUAUGCACGUGAAGGAGAUAAUUCGAAAAAAUGGUAUGCCUUGUACACAGCAACCCCCUGCAACUUGGAGACGAAUGUCAACCUCUCUGCUUUCAUGUCAAAAGGAACCUUAACUCAUUUUGAGGACACACAAAGAUUUGAGUCUGUCUUCAAAAUGACGAGAAAAACCUUUAGCUACAUCUGCAGCUUGGUUUAUGUGCCGUCACUAAAAGAUAUGAACAGCUACACCUUUGAUGAUGGGAGGUUACUGGCUUUAGAAGACCGCGUAGCCAUUGCUCUGAAAAGGUUGCACUCUAGUGAGCCAACAGAGACCAUAGGAUCCUCUGUUGGCAUGAAGGAGUCAACAGUCUUGUUGGUAACUGAGAGCUUCGCUGUUGCUGUGUGGCAGCGAGCAAGGCGCAACUUGCGCUGGACAGAGUCCAGUGAAAUGGAUAAGUUCAAGUCGAUGUUUGACAAGAUCCACAAUAUGCAUAAUUGCUGCGGUGUUAUAUGUACAACUCACAUCCCAUUUGGACCAAACUGGGACCGCGAGAAGAAUGACAGCAUCCUAGUCCAGCUCGUCAUUGAUCCAGAGAUGAGGUUCAGGAACAUUUGGUGGGGUCCGAUAAGCAGCAUGAACCAGUCGAGCAUUUUGCAUGAAUCUUAUUUGUUCAAGAAGUGCGAGGAGGGCGGUUGGCUGAAUGGCAGCAAGCUGAAGGUGGGAUUAGAUGGAUCAGAAGUCGGGGAGUACAUAAUUGGUGAUGCAGGAUACCCUCUUCUCCCGUGGCUACUCACACCUUACCAGGAAGAAGACCUCUCAGACUUCAAGGCAGAGUUCAAUAGGAGACAUUCCAGAGCCACAAAUUGUGCACUGAAAGCGCUGGCAAGGUUAAGAGACACAUGGAAGUAUCUGCAGGGAGAGCCGUCAUGCCCUGUCAAUACGGACACUCUAGUUGAAGCAAUCCAUGCUUGCUGCUACUUGCAUAACAUAGUCAUAGAUAUGGAGGAUGAUGCAGCCAUGCCGAGCAUUGAGGAUUCAUAUUACUGUGAGGACGUGCGGCAGGUCGAAAGUGAGGACGCUAUCAGGGCAAGGGAUAUGUUGUCACGAUACUUCUUGACCAGCAUGCCAUCUGAAUCAGGAGCCGGCCUGGUAGAUGCGGAGGAGGACCAUGAAGUAGCUGCAUCAGGCUCAGGGACUGAAGACAAGGCGCAGGCGCAAGCAAGACCAUCAGAGGAAGAGAUCAUUAACUGA
rnacentral:rRNA from 1 species